rnacentral:SRP_RNA from 2 species
AAUAUCUGUAGCGGGAACUUGUGACCCUAGCGGGGGCAUCAAGGUGGUGUGGAUGCUUUGCGACAGUUUCUCUGGGCCUGGGCCUGUGGUGUGCCUUUGCUGGCCUGCCCGUCCCAAGUUGGUAGUGGUUGGCGGGGCUCUUGCGAAAGCUUGGUCCUCUCUAAACCUAAAGCGGCAGGAAUGGCGUGAGGCUGGCUUCACAGAGCAGCGAUCAUUGUCCGCUUUCAACGGUGGGAGGAUAACAGGCCGCUGCAUCAUGCGCCCAACUCCAGGGCCGAGAGCCUCACUAAUCACUAUAACAGACCACCAUCUUA